UACGUAGGGGGCAAGCGUUGUCCGGAAUCAUUGGGCGUAAAGAGCGCGUAGGCGGCCCUGUAAGUCCGCUGUGAAAGUCAAGGGCUCAACCCUUGGAUGCCGGUGGAUACUGCAGGGCUAGAGUCCGGAAGAGGCGAGUGGAAUUCCUGGUGUAGCGGUGAAAUGCGCAGAUAUCAGGAGGAACACCGAUGGCGAAGGCAGCUCUCUGGGACGGUACUGACGCUGAGACGCGAAAGCGUGGGGAGCGAACAGG
rnacentral:rRNA from 1 species